AACCACUAGUACAGUCCAGGCCUUAGCUAUCAGAGGGAGUGCACAUGAAGAGCAGGAGAUGAGGGAAAGGACAAGAUGACACAGGAGAGGUGACUGAUGCCCGAUGAGAAGGUGAACGUGACAUAUACCCUCGUCAGCUGCAAGAAAGGAACCAUGAGACAGGUGACUGAUGCCCGGUGAGAAGGUGAACGUGACAUGUACCCUCAUCAGCUGCAAGAAAGGAACCACGAGACAGGUGACUGAUGCCCGGUGAGAAGGUGAACGUGACAUAUAUCCUCAUCAGCUGCAAGAAAGGAACCACGAGACAGGUGACUGAUGCCCGGUGAGAAGGUGAACGUGACAUAUACCCUCGUCAGCUGCAAGAAAGGAACCACGAGACAGGUCCAGACUUGGAGGAAGAAGUUGAAAUGGUUUCUAUAAGAUCUGUCACCUAAACCCAAGGAUCAGGUUUGUUGUCUAAGUGGUGCUCAUCUCCAUAAGUCCAAGCUCUUCCUUGUCUUGUCUCUGGUCCCAAAGAUCUUAUGUAGUGUCUACUGUGGUGGUAGCAGAUCGGUUUCCAGAUCGUUCAUGUGGUGAUGUAUCUAAGUAUGGCUGUUUACAAGCAGUCAUUCUUCCUUAACCAGAAAGUUCAGCGUUUAAUUCUUUACUUUUAACAACAGAAUAAUCCAAACCAUCGGCUUCCAAGUCUCUCAUUUGAAGAUUGCAGAUUGAGUGUCUAUUCUACUGAAGAGACAUUCACCAUCUCCCUUCGGCUACAUAGAUUGUGUUUUAGACAAAGCCAGUCAGAGAUCUCCAGCAAGGGCACCUCAGGUCCGUUUGUUAGUUUUCCUUCUGGCAUGUAGAAAGGCGGUAAUAUUCAGCAGGCUAUCUUCAUCUCUUAAAUGGUAUACAUUCAUCACUGAAGAUGUGGCUGACUUUGUAGCAGUUUGACCGUAUCAAAGAAAUCAAGUCCUGAUCCAUGCAAGAGACCAAAAACCAGUCCAUACUACAAGUAUAUUAUGAUUCAGAAAAGUUUAUCCUAGAAUCUUAACGCUACAUAUUGGAAGAUCUUAUGUGACAGAAGAGACUAUACCAUCAAAGUGUGAAUUGAACGUCUUAUUUCUAGUAGAUUAUAGAAUCUAGAAGAUCCGGAAAUAGUCUGGUGCCUGAGUUCAACAGGGUAUUGGAGAGGUUGCACCUCCGCAGGAUGCCGAUCAACCAGGGCGAGAUGUUCUCUGUUA